GACGUAGGGCGCGAGCGUUGUCCGGAUUUAUUGGGCGUAAAGAGCUCGUAGGCGGCUUGUCGCGUCGAUCGUGAAAACUUGCAGCUUAACUGUGGGCGUGCGGUCGAUACGGGCAUCACUGGAGUUCGGCAGGGGAGACUGGAAUUCCUGGUGUAGCAGUGAAAUGCGUAGAUAUCAGGAGGAAUACCGAUGGCGAAGGCAGGUCUCUGGGCUGACACUGACGCUCAUGCACGAAAGCGUGGGGAGCAAACAGG
rnacentral:rRNA from 1 species